AUGCACGCUGGCGGCGUGCCUCAUACCUGCAAGUCGAGCGAACAGACGAGGAGCUUGCUCCUCUGACGUUAGCGGCGGACGGGUGAGUAACACGUGGAUAACCUACCUAUAAGACUGGGAUAACUUCGGGAAACCGGAGCUAAUACCGGAUAAUAUAUUGAACCGCAUGGUUCAAUAGUGAAAGACGGUUUUGCUGUCACUUAUAGAUGGAUCCGCGCCACAUUAGCUAGUUGGUAAGGUAACGGCUUACCAAGGCAACGAUGCGUAGCCGACCUGAGAGGGUGAUCGGCCACACUGGAACUGAGACACGGUCCAGACUCCUACGGGAGGCAGCAGUAGGGAAUCUUCCGCAAUGGGCGAAAGCCUGACGGAGCAACGCCGCGUGAGUGAUGAAGGUCUUCGGAUCGUAAAACUCUGUUAUUAGGGAAGAACAAAUGUGUAAGUAACUAUGCACGUCUUGACGGUACCUAAUCAGAAAGCCACGGCUAACUACGUG
rnacentral:rRNA from 1 species